UGCUCUGAUCUGAGGGAGAGGUUGAUUUCUAUCCACUGGGAGGAUUCCUGGCGGUCACCAAGCAUGCACCUCCUGUUAAUUAGGAAAAGCUGCCCUGGACAGAGACUGCAGGGCACGCCUACCCCCGAAAGGCAGCAUGGGGCACCAGCAUGCAAGUCACCACUGAGAACCUCCCUGCCAACUUCAAAACUCUCCAAAGGAAACUGCAAGGAGAGACAGUGGCAAUGACAGCGUCCUCCUGGUGGACAGCAUUUACAGUUCACCAAGCACCUGUACUGACAGGACUCUUACUUGAACUUCACCAUGAACAAAGAGAACAAGCAAGAUUGACAUUCUCAUUUCAUAGAUGAGGACACCUGGAAAAAUAUCGCGCCUAUCCAAGGCAGGAUAUCACUGGAAGCCACGGCCAAACCUUCUGCACUCCAGAGCCACGUUACUUCCUCUCACCAGUUUCCCUCUUUAUUCUGCCGCUGUUAAAAUGGUGAUGGAUGAUGGUUUGACAAUCUCACUGCUUCAUUAUCAGUUCACACUUUUGCAAGGGCAAACAGAGGUUCACGAGAGCUGAGAUAAUUCACAGCGUUGACACCUGGCAGAGGACCUGCUUCAGGAACUGGAAGAACUACCUGCCAAACUGUACCUGUCAGCCAAGGCCACACUGCCAGAAAACAUUUUCUGAGAUGACCUAGACAUUAAUUCCUCGGUUGUUGCCUGAGACACAGAGAUGGAGGUCCCAGAGAAAUGGAGGCACCUGUCCAAGAUCACACAGCUAUAGCCAGUUCAGGCCUUCAGCUCAUGGCCCGGCUACAGUUCCCAAUCCAGACAGCAUUCAGCAAAGACCAAGCCAGACUUUAAGAAGGCCCAUAGCAGAAACCACUCGCUCAAGACAUCUCUUGUCUGGACAGACUACAGAAGUGUCCUUCAGCUCACGUCUAUUUUUGUUUUUAAAGGUAGUCUUUUGGCCUGAAAAGGGGUCAGAAAGGCCUGCUAUUUCAAUUUCUCUGAAUGUUAUUGUUGAAAACAAAAGAGACACCAAAGCAGCAGUGGCCUAUUGUCCCCCAAACUCAGGCCCAGGCCUAUCACUUGGAAGAUGAUCAAACAUCAUUUAUCAAUGAAGAGGCCCCUCUGUAGGUGUGGCCUUCAGGUGUGGCCCUUCUUGCUAGGUGGCACCUGGGUGACUGGUUACACACAGUCCAGUUAUUUCUGAAUUCAUAAACCUGCUUUGGUGGGUGUCCCAAGAGGACUUUGACUUUCCAGGGUCUGGUUUGUGUUUAUCAAACUCACAAGAUUCAUAUGUCAAACUAGAAGGUCAAGCUAGCCAUAAAUAUACAGUGAGAAAUAAAUGACUGGGCUCCAUAGCCAACUCCCAUUCCUCUUCUGGAGGAUGAUCCUUGUGGAAACCAAAGGGUGACCCAGAGGCCACGUGGUGAGCUGGAACCAGGAAACAAGAUGAAUCUGCCAUUUCAUGACAUCAAGAUAAGUAACAGGAUUUCAUGCAACUGUCCAGCGAGAGGCCCCCGAGCUCCGGGGAGCUGUCAGAGGAUGGACCAUCAAGGCCUUGCUGGGGCUGCCCCUUUUCCCAUCUCUGCAGGAACAGGCACCGCAGAGUCUCCAUCUGCAAUUCUCCUUUUACUUCCACGCUUCACAACCCUUUGUCUCUAACCUAUUCUUCCCCCCUCUGGUUGAAGUAUGGCCUCUUGUAGCAUUAGCAGUCAGAUUUCACUGGCCUGGGCACCCUCCUGGGCCCUGCAGGUGCCUGCACUGUGUGCAGCCUUCACAGUCAGCAUGCAGGGGAGAACUGGAUUAAUUACCCUAUUGCAGACAGGGGCACUGUCCUGCAGUCCCCAAGGACCAAAAGAGCAGAUUCAAAUCACACUUCCGGAAAGGAAGAUCAAUUUAGGGAUCCCGUUCUGCUGAUCCCCACCCUCCCGAAACUCUCUUCCACUGUGCCAGGUUGGAAGAGCUCAGGGGGCAUUGUUAGAACAUCCCCACGUCAGCUUUGAAGGCCAUGUCCCAAGAAAACCCCUGAGGGGAACAUGCUGUGGGCACAGCUCCAGCCCAUCCUGUUAGGAAUCAUUCCCUCUCCCUUGCUCUGUCACUGUCUGGCCUGGCUGAGGAGGCUCUGAUUUGGAAACAGAACUUGGCAGCCUGUGAGAUCCCAUAUGUGGCAGCAGAGAAAAUAUCAGCAGAAGUCAAGGGGAACACCAAACAUGAGGAUCCGAAGGGAGUGGCAGCGCCCGGAAUGGCAUUUGGUGCUUACUAGGCUGAAGUCCUGAAGACCUCAUUUCACAAAGAAGGAAACUGAAGUCAGGGGGAGGAUGGUUUGCUCUGAGCCUUGCAGGGAGCAGUGGCUGCUUGGGAGGGACUUGCAGGUGAUGAGAGUCCCGGCUCUUUGGUUCCAAUAUCAAGUGAUGGCAACUGGAUAAGGCAGGAGAGCAGUGGGAGAGGGAGGAAAUAAGUGCAAAUUAUAGAAAAAGAAACCAACCAGCACUGGCUUCCAAGCUUGUCUGGGUCCGUGCUACAACUCCCCCAGCUCCAGCUUCCUUCAGAACACCACCUCCUUUCGCUUUCGUGCUUUCUCAGACUCCUUGAAAAAAAAGUCUGUGGCAUUGUUUAGUAUGGUAGUCACUGGCUCCGUGUAGCUGUGGCAAUGUGAAGAGUCUGGACUGUGAAUGUUGACAUUCAGGAUGAAAUACACACCCAUUUCAAAGACAGGGAUAAAGAAUGCAAAACAUCCCAUCAAUAAUAACUUUGGAUAUAUUGGGGCAAAUAAAAUACAUUAUUAUCCCUGCCUUA